AAUUUUUGCUCUCCUCCAUAGCUGGGGUUUCUUCAACUUUCAAGCCUCAUAGUAAGUGAUUCUAAGCCCCGUUUUUAAUGAAAUUUACGUUUUUGAAGUCCCGGUAACUUGAUUAAGUUUAUUCUAGCAAUAAUUCAACCUAGGGUUCAUAUUUGGAAAAAUAAACAUAGCUGAAAUUUGUGUAUUUUGGUGUUUUAUGAUAGAAUAUGAGGUUUUAAAUUAUGUUAAACAACUUAUGCUACUCAGUUUUAAGUGAAAACGAGUAAAAGGGCUUAAAUCGGAAAAAAAUACCAAUAGUCAUAAGUAUAUGUCAGAGUGUGAUUUUGAUAUUGCCAUAGAAGGGAAAAAUGAUCAGCAUGUCAUAAAACAUAAGAAAAUAGGAUGAAAUUUAAUUUACGAGCCUUGGGGCAAAAGUGCAAAUAUGUGAAAGUUUAGGGGUAAAAAUAUAAUUUUUCCAAAGUUUGGGUCACGGACUGUUUUAAUAAAUGUGAAUAUUAAAUAAGUUAAUUUGCUAUUAUAGAUCAAGAAGAACGAAAUUCGGGAGUAGAUCGGGGAAAAGAAAAAGUAAAGGACUAAAUUGUAAAGUUUAGUCACAUUUUGUAUCAAGGUAAGUUACAGUAAAUAAAUGCAAUAUUAUUUUAUUUUACAUUAUUAUUGUCAAUUUCCAGCAUUUAUAUAUUUAUGUUAUGAAAAUAUUUAAAGUCGAAUUUAAGGUGAAGUGACAGAGGAAAAAUGUUAGAAAGCCCCGGUUGAACCCUAGGAAUGUUAGGAUAUUAGGGUUGACAAGACAGAACAGAAAUGAGCCAUGUAAGUCCAUAUUAGAAAUAUGGCUUUAGAGACAGGAUUGAGCCAUGUAAUUCCAUAUUAUAUAUGGCAUUGGAGACAGGAAUAAUUCAUGUAAGUCCAUGUCAAAGACAUGGCAUUGGCAGGAUAUUGAAAGACAGGAACGACCCUAGUAUCCUUAGUAUUCUAAGUGGUUCAACGGGUCAGGGUACGAGUUAAAUUACAGUGAAUUAACAGCAAAGGAAAAGUAGAUUAUAUUUAUGAAAAAGGAAAGGUCAGGUAAGAAAGAAGGUAAGGGAAUAAAGAAGAAGAUAGAAAUUGAGAAGUAAAGAAAUUUAUGAUGUUAGAUGAUAUUAUGCAUAAUUAUCCAUUAUGUUGAAUGUUGUGAUUUAUUUUCUUGUAAGCUUACUAAGCCUAGUGCUUAAUCUCUUUAUUUUCUUCUUCUUAUAGUACUUAUCUAGCCACUCGGGGAUCGAAGGAAACGUCGGAGGCCGAUCACACUAUCAAAGAAAUAACUCGGUAUAAUUAGACGUUUUGUUUUGGGUAUGGCAUGUAUAGAAACUUAGCUACUUUUGGUAUAAUAUGAACAAUGAAUGAUGUGUAAAUACUUGCUAGUGAUUAGCUAAUAAAAUGGCCGAUGAUAUACAUGUUUG
rnacentral:lncRNA from 1 species